GGUCAAGCGACUAAGUGCAUCUGGUGGAUGCCUUGGCGAUCACAGGCGAUGAAGGACGUGUAAGCCUGCGAAAAGCGCGGGGGAGCUGGCAAUAGAGCUUUGAUCCCGCGAUAUCCGAAUGGGGAAACCCGGCCCUUAGGGGUCAUCCCAGACUGAAUACAUAGGUCUGAGGAGGCGAACUCAGCGAACUGAAACAUCUAAGUAGCUGAAGGAAAAGAAAUCAACCGAGAUUCCGUAAGUAGUGGCGAGCGAACGCGGAACAGCCUGUAUGUGAUAGAGAUUGCGUUAGUGGAAGGUUAUGGAAAGGACCGCCAUAGUGGGUGAUAGCCCCGUACACGAAAACGCAUUCUUGGUACUAAGCAUACGAGAAGUAGGGCGGGACACGCGAAAUCCUGUCUGAAGAUGGGGGGACCAUCCUCCAAGGCUAAAUACUCGUGAUCGACCGAUAGUGAACCAGUACCGUGAGGGAAAGGCGAAAAGAACCCCGGGAGGGGAGUGAAAUAGAACCUGAAACCGGAUGCAUACAAACAGUGGGAGCGGACGUGUUCCGUGACUGCGUACCUUUUGUAUAAUGGGUCAGCGACUUACGUUCAGUAGCGAGCUUAACCGAAUAGGGGAGGCGUAGGGAAACCGAGUCCGAAUAGGGCGCUUUAGUUGCUGGGCGUAGACCCGAAACCGAGUGAUCUAUCCAUGGCCAGGAUGAAGGUGCGGUAACACGCACUGGAGGUCCGAACCCACUAGUGUUGCAAAACUAGGGGAUGAGCUGUGGAUAGGGGUGAAAGGCUAAACAAACUCGGAGAUAGCUGGUUCUCCCCGAAAACUAUUUAGGUAGUGCCUCAUGUAUCACUUCCGGGGGUAAAGCACUGUUAUGGCUAGGGGGUCAUUGCGAUUUACCAAACCAUGGCAAACUCUGAAUACCGGAAAGUGCGAGCAUGGGAGACAGACGGUGGGUGCUAACGUCCAUCGUCAAGAGGGAAACAACCCAGACCGCCAGCUAAGGUCCCAAAUGAUCAGUUAAGUGGUAAACGAAGUGGGAAGGCCUAGACAGCCAGGAUGUUGGCUUAGAAGCAGCCAUCAUUUAAAGAAAGCGUAAUAGCUCACUGGUCGAGUCGUCCUGCGCGGAAGAUGUAACGGGGCUCAAACUGAUAACCGAAGCUGCGGAUGCGUCGGCUUCACCUUAGCUUGUUGCAAGCUUGUCAUCGCGAAGCGAUGACAAAGCCCACCCCAAUGGUCGCCAGGCCAUGAGGGAAACAAGCAGGCUAAGGGAAGCCGAUGCGUGGUAGGGGAGCGUUCUGUAGGUCUGUGAAGGUGUCUCGUAAGGGAUGCUGGAGAUAUCAGAAGUGCGAAUGCUGACAUGAGUAGCGAUAAAGCGGGUGAAAAGCCCGCUCGCCGAAAGCCCAAGGUUUCCUACGCAACGUUCAUCGGCGUAGGGUGAGUCGGCCCCUAAGGCGAGGCUGAAAAGCGUAGUCGAUGGGAAACGGGUUAAAAUUCCCGUACUUUUGUGUAGUGCGAUGUGGGGACGGAGAAGGUUAGGUCAUCAGACUGUUGGAAUAGUCUGUUUAAGCCGGUAGGCUGGGGGUGGUAGGCAAAUCCGCCGCCCCUUAAGGCCGAGACGUGAUGACGAGGGUCUACGGACCUGAAGUGACUGAUACCACGCUUCCAGGAAAAGCCACUAAGCUUCAGCUACACAAGAACCGUACCGCAAACCGACACAGGUGGGCAGGAUGAGAAUUCUAAGGCGCUUGAGAGAACUCAGGAGAAGGAACUCGGCAAAUUGAUACCGUAACUUCGGGAGAAGGUAUGCCUCUUAGAGUGUAGGACUUCGCGUUCGAAGCUUUGAGAGGUCGCAGAGAAUCGGUGGCUGCGACUGUUUAACAAAACACAGCACUGUGCCAACACGAAAGUGGACGUAUACGGUGUGACGCCUGCCCGGUGCCGGAAGGUUAAGUGAUGGGGUGCAAGCUCUUGAUCGAAGCCCCGGUAAACGGCGGCCGUAACUAUAACGGUCCUAAGGUAGCGAAAUUCCUUGUCGGGUAAGUUCCGACCCGCACGAAUGGCGUAACGAUGGCCACACUGUCUCCUCCUGAGGACUCAGCGAAGUUGAAGUGUUGUGAAGAUGCAAUCUCCCCCGCUGCUAGACGGAAAGACCCCCGUGAACCUUUACUGUAGCUUUGCAUUGGACUUUGAAGUGGUUUGUGUAGGAUAGGUGGGAGGCUAAGAAGCCAGGACGCUAGUUCUGGUGGAGCCGACCUUGAAAUACCACCCUGACCCCUUUGAGGUUCUAACCU
rfam:Chromobacterium amazonense strain DSM 26508 Camzn_DSM26508.2, whole genome shotgun sequence.